ACGGGUGAGUAACGCGUGGGAAUCUACCCAUCUCUACGGAAUAACGCAUGGAAACGUGUGCUAAUACCGUAUACGUCCUUCGGGAGAAAGAUUUAUCGGAGAUGGAUGAGCCCGCGUUGGAUUAGCUAGUUGGUGGGGUAAGGGCCUACCAAGGCGACGAUCCAUAGCUGGUCUGAGAGGAUGAUCAGCCACACUGGGACUGAGACACGGCCCAGACUCCUACGGGAGGCAGCAGUGGGGAAUAUUGGACAAUGGGCGCAAGCCUGAUCCAGCCAUGCCGCGUGAGUGAUGAAGGCCCUAGGGUUGUAAAGCUCUUUCACCGGUGAAGAUAAUGACGGUAACCGGAGAAGAAGCCCCGGCUAACUUCGUGCCAGCAGCCGCGGUAAUACGAAGGGGGCUAGCGUUGUUCGGAUUUACUGGGCGUAAAGCGCACGUAGGCGGACUAUUAAGUCAGGGGUGAAAUCCCGGGGCUCAACCCCGGAACUGCCUUUGAUACUGGUAGUCUUGAGUUCGAGAGAGGUGAGUGGAAUUCCGAGUGUAGAGGUGAAAUUCGUAGA
rnacentral:rRNA from 1 species